GGACGAACGCUAGCGGCGUGCCUAAUGUAUGCAAGUCGAGCGGGGUAAGAGACUUGUCUCUUAUUCAGCGGCAAACGGUUGAGUAACACGUAGGCAACCUGCCCCAGAGACGGGGAUAGCCCGCCGAAAGGCGGAUUAAUACCGGAUGUGGCCGGGGGGGACAUCCCCUUUGUGCUAAAGGGAGCAAUCCGCUCUGGGAUGGGCCUGCGGCCUAUCAGCUAGUUGGUGAGGUAACGGCUCACCAAGGCGACGACGGGUAGCUGGUCUGAGAGGAUGGUCAGCCAGACAGGGACUGAGACACGGCCCUGACUCCUUUGGGGGGCAGCAAUGAGGGAUAUCGCACAAUGGGCGAAAGCCAGAUGCAGCGACGCCGCGUGGGUGACGAAGUCCUUCGGGAUGUAAAGCCCUUUUCUCGGGGAAGAGAACGGACGGUACCCGAGGAAUAAGCCCCGGCUAACUACGUGCCAGCAGCCGCGGUAAUACGUAGGGGGCAAGCGUUGUCCGGAAUUACUGGGCGUAAAGCGCGUGUAGGCGGGACGGCAAGUCGGACGUGAAAGGCUCGGGCUCAACCCGAGAUGGCCGUUCGAAACUGCCGUUCUUGAGGGUCGAAGAGGAGAGUGGAAUUCCUGGUGUAGCGGUGAAAUGCGUAGAGAUCAGGAGGAACACCCGUGGCGAAGGCGGCUCUCUGGUCGACAACUGACGCUGAGACGCGAAAGCGUGGGGAGCGAACGGGAUUAGAUACCCCGGUAGUCCACGCCGUAAACGAUGGUCACUAGGUGUAUGCGGUAUCGACCCCGCAUGUGCCGCAGCUAACGCAAUAAGUGACCCGCCUGGGGGAGUACGGCCGCAAGGUUGAAAC
rnacentral:rRNA from 1 species